UGCAGUCGAGCGAACUGAUUAGAAGCUUGCUUCUAUGACGUUAGCGGCGGACGGGUGAGUAACACGUGGGCAACCUGCCUGUAAGACUGGGAUAACUUCGGGAAACCGAAGCUAAUACCGGAUAGGAUCUUCUCCUUCAUGGGAGAUGAUUGAAAGAUGGUUUCGGCUAUCACUUACAGAUGGGCCCGCGGUGCAUUAGCUAGUUGGUGAGGUAACGGCUCACCAAGGCAACGAUGCAUAGCCGACCUGAGAGGGUGAUCGGCCACACUGGGACUGAGACACGGCCCAGACUCCUACGGGAGGCAGCAGUAGGGAAUCUUCCGCAAUGGACGAAAGUCUGACGGAGCAACGCCGCGUGAGUGAUGAAGGCUUUCGGGUCGUAAAACUCUGUUGUUAGGGAAGAACAAGUACAAGAGUAACUGCUUGUACCUUGACGGUACCUAACCAGAAAGCCACGGCUAACUACGUGCCAGCAGCCGCGGUAAUACGUAGGUGGCAAGCGUUAUCCGGAAUUAUUGGGCGUAAAGCGCGCGCAGGCGGUUUCUUAAGUCUGAUGUGAAAAGCCCACGGCUCAACC
rnacentral:rRNA from 2 species